AGUCAUAUGCUUGUCUCAAAGAUUAAGCCAUGCAUGUCUAAGUUCAAGCGCAAAUAAAGUGAAACCGCGAAUGGCUCAUUACAUCAGUUAUGGUUCCUUAGAUCGCACAUACUACUUGGAUAACUGUGGUAAUUCUAGAGCUAAUACAUGCAAUGAGCUCCGACCCUCGUGGAAGGAGCGCUUUUAUUAGAUCAAAGCCAAUCGGAUCUUCGGAUUCGUUUUGUUGGUGACUCUGAAUAACUUUGCUGAUCGCAUGGUCUCGUACCGGCGACGGAUCUUUCAAGUGUCUGCCUUAUCAACUUUCGAUGGUAGGUUAUGCGCCUACCAUGGUUGUAACGGGUAACGGGGAAUCAGGGUUCGAUUCCGGAGAGGGAGCCUGAGAAACGGCUACCACAUCCAAGGAAGGCAGCAGGCGCGCAAAUUACCCACUCCCGGCACGGGGAGGUAGUGACGAAAAAUAACGAUACGGAUCUCUUUAUGAGGCUCCGUAAUCGGAAUGAGUACACUUUAAAUCCUUUAACGAGGAUCUAUUGGAGGGCAAGUCUGGUGCCAGCAGCCGCGGUAAUUCCAGCUCCAAUAGCGUAUAUUAAAGUUGUUGCGGUUAAAAAGCUCGUAGUUGGAUCUCGGUUUCGGGCGGAUGGUUCAGAUUCGUCUGUUACUGUCUGCCCGGACGAUUUUGUUGGUUCGUUCGUGGUUCUCUUAACCGAGUGCCACGGGUGGCUAACACGUUUACUUUGAAAAAAUUGGAGUGCUCAAAGCAGGCGCUACAGCCUGAACAUUAGUGCAUGGAAUAAUGGAAUAGGAUCUCGGUUCUAUUUCGUUGGCUUUCGGAGUCGAGGUAAUGAUUAAUAGGAACAGACGGGGGCAUUCGUACUGCGACGUUAGAGGUGAAAUUCUUGGAUCGUCGCAAGACGAACUACUGCGAAAGCAUUUGCCAAGAAUGUUUUCAUUAAUCAAGAACGAAAGUUAGAGGUUCGAAGGCGAUCAGAUACCGCCCUAGUUCUAACCAUAAACGAUGCCGACCGGCGAUCCGCCGUCGUUACUUGAAUGACUCGGCGGGCAGCCUCCGGGAAACCAGAGUGUUUGGGUUCCGGGGGAAGUAUGGUUGCAAAGCUGAAACUUAAAGGAAUUGACGGAAGGGCACCACCAGGAGUGGAGCCUGCGGCUUAAUUUGACUCAACACGGGAAAUCUCACCAGGCCCGGACACCGGAAGGAUUGACAGAUUGAGAGCUCUUUCUUGAUUCGGUGGGUGGUGGUGCAUGGCCGUUCUUAGUUGGUGGAGCGAUUUGUCUGGUUAAUUCCGAUAACGAACGAGACUCUGGCCUACUAACUAGACGUUGGAUCAUUUAUGGUCUUUCGCAGCUUCUUAGAGGGACGGGCGGCGUAUAGCCGCACGAGAAUGAGCAAUAACAGGUCUGUGAUGCCCUUAGAUGUUCUGGGCUGCACGCGCGCUACACUGAAGGAAUCAGCGUGUGUACCCUGUCCGAAAGGACUGGGAAACCCGUUGAACCUCCUUCGUGAUGGGGAUUGGGGAUUGAAAUUAUUCCCCAUGAACGAGGAAUUCCCAGUAGGCGCGAGUCAUAAGCUUGCGUCGAUUACGUCCCUGCCCUUUGUACACACCGCCCGUCGCUACUACCGAUCGAGUGAUUUAGUGAGGCCUUUGGACUGGUCUUCGUGAUGGCCUUCGGGUCGUGGCGGAGUGCCGGAAAAAUGGCCAAACUUGAUCACUUAGAGGAAGUAAAAGU
rnacentral:rRNA from 1 species